rnacentral:rRNA from 1 species
UACGAAGGGGGCUAGCGUUGUUCGGAAUCACUGGGCGUAAAGCGCACGUAGGCGGAUUUUUAAGUCAGGGGUGAAAUCCCGAGGCUCAACCUCGGAACUGCCUUUGAUACUGGGGAUCUGGAGUCCGGGAGAGGUGAGCGGAACUGCGAGUGUAGAGGUGAAAUUCGUAGAUAUUCGCAAGAACACCAGUGGCGAAGGCGACUCACUGGCCCGGAACUGACGCUGAGGUGCGAAAGCGUGGGGAGCAAACAGG